rnacentral:lncRNA from 1 species
UCAUGUAAUAAAAAUUAACCACAUAAAUUAAAGAUAAACAUUAAUUUGUAAAUACUACUUAUAAAUUUACUUGGGUGACAAAUUUCUGUUAGUUGAUGAAUAAAUUAACUACAAUUUUUCAAAAGCUCUAGGUACUUUUUUUUCUCUCACGCCAACCUAGCUUUUUAGGCCAACAAGCCAAGUGAUUUGAACCGCUGCAAGUAGGGUUGGACAACGGGCAUAUUCGGGCCCAAAACACCAAUCUGACCCAUACCGCAGGUGGAGUAUACAUAGGCCAACUUCCGGCCAUUUUUUCCUUCGGAUUGAGCGGGUCGCAGAUCGUGCGAGUAUCGAGUUUGCCGAUCGGUUUAUGCUCUAAAGUAUCAAAUAACCAACAAAAUACCAGUUAAAAAAUCAGUAUCAAUAAUCUCACAUUUAUAUCUAAAUUUAGAAAAAUAAGAAAAAAGAAGAUGAUAAAAAAGGAGUCGUAAAGAGCAAUCAUCCCUUGCUUUUUUAAAUAAGCCCUUGAUUUGUUGAUGAUAUCAACAGCCAAAAAUUGCCUCUAACGAGUGAGAAGAAGAAGAGUGAACAAUUGUUUUUCUUACCGAGAGAGAAAGAAGAUGUAUAUUCUCUAUCAUCUAUUAAGAUAUAGGUUAUUCUAUGCUAUAUACUAUUAUUAUGUCAACUUGAACAUUAUAAUAUUUGACAGUACUUUGCAGAUUAUUUACUUUCGUUCAAGUUCCAACCGGAACAACGUUUUUUUACUUGGUGGAAGUAGAUUUACUUAUCAUGAAUUAUAAUUAGAAAACGACACAAGAAACAUGACUUAUUUUAUUAUAUUUUGGUUACAAAAGAAAAGAGACUUUAAUUCCUUCAUGCAAAUUAAACUAGGAGACUAACUAGCUAGCUAGAUCUUCCAGUACAUGAGUGACCAUAUAUAUAGUAUGACGUUAUUUGAAGCAGCAGUUACAGAAAGCAACAAGCUAAGUAUAGCUAUAUAUUCAUAUGUUUAUAGAUUGAUGCAACUUCAUUUGUUAUCCCUGUUCAUUCCAGUAGUAUUGUGAUUACCACGACCAUCAGUAUUUGCUUCUUGUCCCCACUGGGCAAAUCCAGGAGCAGGAGCAGUAGUGUCAUAAACAGCAGUGUAUUCGUACCUGGUGGUUCCAUAAUUACCGAUGUCACCACCACCACCACCACCACCAACACCAGGGGCAGUCACAGUAGCCUCGUAUGCGUACGCGGCAACUGGGUACGCUGCCACUCGAUCCACGGCAGUUCCGCUUUGGAAUUCAUGGUUCUUGCGAACAUCACUGUCUUGCUCACGAUCGUCGGUUCUAGAUAUAUUAGCAUUGUUGUGACACUCCUCGCGGCGUGGUUGUUGUUGUUGUGCCAUAUUGUGAAUGUUUAGAUAUAUGAGAUAGUAUUAUGGAUCGGAUCGAUAAAACGAAAGUAUAUAUUGGAGAGGUUAAGCGGUGAGGAGUAUCAUGCCUGCUUCCUCUGUAGCUUCUACACUCAACACGUGUAUGCUCUCAAAUUCUAACAUUCAUCGCUGCGGUGUCGGAAGCACCGACUAUUAUAAAGAUGUAUUUAGUUUCAGAGCUGGUACAAAAGAGAGGCAAGAUGUCAAAAACAUUUUUUUUUUUUAUAAUUUUUAUAAAGUAUAAAAAAUUUGUAACUCACGCAAAUUUUAAUUUUUUGAAUUGAUACCAGUGAUGAAUGGAUUAUUC